UUUGUUUCCUCUUCACAAGAGACAAACUGUUGGAUUAUUUGUUCAGGUCUCCUGGGCAGCUGGAACAGCGGUAGCCACGGCAGCCAGCUGCAGUGCAAAGCGCAUCAUGCACGGGAGCGAGGAGUAUGUAUGAGCAAAAUGAAGAACCAGAACAUGUUAUCUCCAUUGGAGGGAGAAGUUUCAGUGAUGGUGCCAAGCAAAGAAAAUCCAUGUGAGGACAGUAAGAAGGUGCCCAUUUGCAAUCCAAGGAGAGAGGGAUCACCAGACACCAACCCUGUUGACGUCUUGGUCUUGGACUUCCAGGCUACAGAACUAGUAAGAGACAACACUGUCUGCUAAGAGUGAAGCACGGGGUUCAGAGAAAGAGAGCACAAGUGGGAGGGACAGAAGAAGAGGGAGAGAGAAUCUCAAGUGACUCCACGCUGAGCACAGAGCCCAGCACAGGGCUUGUCUCACUCCUGAGAUUGCGGCCUGAGCCGAAACCAAGAG